GCAACGAGAAAAUUAUUGUUUAGAAAGAAAAAGGAGAGCCCUUGCAAUCAAGGGAUGAACAAAGAAAGGCCAAUAACAAAAGAAAGAAGAUUGCAUCAAUUACUCACAGAAUCAAGAAAAAAAGAUUUAGGUCUAAUAAAAUCAGCUAGUUUCAUUGACAAAUGGAAGUCACAAUUUACAAUUUCCAACAAGAAGGGAAUUCAGCAGCAGUGUCACUACAAA
rnacentral:misc_RNA from 1 species